GGGGAAUAUUGCGCAAUGGCCUAACGGCUGACGCAGCGACGCCGCGUGUGGGAUGACGCCUUUCGGGGUGUAAACCACUGUUGCCCGGGACGAACAGCCCUUUUCGAGGGGUCUGACGGUACCGGGUGAGGAAGCACCAGCUAACUCCGUGCCAGCAGCCGCGGUAAUACGGGGGGUGCGAGCGUUGUCCGGAAUCAUUGGGCGUAAAGGGCGCGUAGGUGGCCCGGUCAGUUCGUGGUGAAAGCGCGGGGCUCAACCCUGCGUCGGCCAUGAAUACUGCUGGGCUUGAGCACUGUAGAGGCAGGCGGAAUUCCGGGUGUAGCGGUGGAAUGCGUAGAGAUCCGGAAGAACACCGGUGGCGAAGGCGGCCUGCUGGGCAGUAGCUGACACUGAGGCGCGACAGCGUGGGGAGCAAAC
rnacentral:rRNA from 1 species